GAUCAUGGCUCAGGACGAACGCUGGCGGCGUGCCUAAUACAUGCAAGUAGAACGCUGAAGGAGGAGCUUGCUCUUUCCGGAUGAGUUGCGAACGGGUGAGUAACGCGUAGGUAACCUGCCUGGUAGCGGGGGAUAACUAUUGGAAACGAUAGCUAAUACCGCAUAACAGUAGAUAUCGCAUGAUAUUUGCUUGAAAGGUGCAAUUGCACCACUACCAGAUGGACCUGCGUUG
rnacentral:rRNA from 1 species